ACGAAAAAAAAAAAAAUUGAUAAAUGACAAGCUGGGCAGAUGAUAACAGAAGGUAAAAUAAAGGAGGUCCACGAUUUUGAUAUGAAGUUUAUGCGUGCAAGAACAAUGAAUAAAAACAAAUUAAAA